rnacentral:rRNA from 1 species
AUUGAACGCUGGCGGCAUGCUUUACACAUGCAAGUCGAACGGGGUGGAGGGGCAACUCUCCAUUCAGUGGCGAACGGGUGAGUAAUGCAUCGGAACGUGCCCCGUAGUGGGGGAUAACGCCGCGAAAGCGGCGCUAAUACCGCAUAUGCUCUACGGAGGAAAGUGGGGGAUCCGCAAGGACCUCACGCUAUGGGAGCGGCCGAUGUCCGAUUAGCUUGUUGGUGGGGUAAUGGCCUACCAAGGCGACGAUCGGUAGCUGGUCUGAGAGGAUGAUAAGCCACACUGGGACUGAGACACGGCCCAGACUCCUACGGGAGGCAGCAGUGGGGAAUUUUGGACAAUGGGCGCAAGCCUGAUCCAGCCAUGCCGCGUGCGGGAAGAAGGCCUUCGGGUUGUAAACCGCUUUUAGCCGGGAAGAAAAGGGCACGGAUAACACCCGUGUCUCUUGACGGUACCGGCGGAAUAAGCACCGGCUAACUACGUGCCAGCCGCCGCCGUAAAAC